rnacentral:rRNA from 1 species
GACGAACGCUGGCGGCGUGCUUAACACAUGCAAGGCGAACGGAAAGGCCCUGCUUUUGUGGGGUGCUCGAGUGGCGAACGGGUGAGUAACACGGGAGUAACCUGCCCUGGACUUUGGGAUAACUUCAGGAAACUGGGGCUAAUACCGGAUAGGAGCUCCUGCUGCAUGGUGGGGGUUGGAAGUUUCGGCGGUUGGGGAUGGACGCGCGGCUUAUCAGCCUGUUGGUGGGGUAGUGGCCUACCAAGGCUUUGACGGGUAGCCGGCCUGAGAGGGUGACCGGCCACAUUGGGACUGAGAUACGGCCCAGACUCCUACGGGAGGAAGCAGUGGGGAAUAUUGCACAAUGGGCGGAAGCCUGAUGCAGCAACGCCGCGUGCGGGAUGACGGCCUUCGGGUUGUAACCCGCUUUCGCCUGUGACGAAGCGUGAGUGACGGUAAUGGGUAAAGAAGCACCGGCUAACUACGUG